CCUGAACGCUGGCGGCGUGGCUAAGACAUGCAAGUCGAACGGGACCCGCAAGGGUUCAGUGGCGGACGGGUGAGUAAUGAAUCGCUAACGUGCCCUAGAGCCUGGGAUAGCUGCCCGAAAGGGCAGGUAAUACCAGAUGAAAUACCCCGAUCGCAUGAUCGGGAGUCUCAAAGACCGCCAAGGACACUCCUGGAGGCGGGCGGAUUUCGUAUCAGCUAGUUGGUGAGGAACGGCUCACCAAGGCGACGACGCGUAGCCGGACCUGAGAGGUUGGGCCGGGCCACAUUGGGACGUGAGACACUGCCCACGACUCCUACGGGGGGCGUNCAGUAACGAACUCUUCCACAAUGCACGAAAGUGUGAU
rnacentral:rRNA from 1 species